rnacentral:rRNA from 1 species
AUGGCGACGCACUUCGUGCUCAACACCGGCGCUAAGAUCCCCUCCGUGGGGCUCGGCACCUGGCAGUCCGACCCCGGCGUCGUCGGCGAGGCCGUCUACGCCGCCGUCAAGGCCGGGUACCGCCACAUCGACUGCGCCAGGGCCUACAACAACGAGAAGGAGGUGGGUUUGGCACUGAAGAAGCUAUUUGAAGAGGGUGUAGUCAAGCGUGAGGAUCUGUUUAUCACCUCUAAGCUAUGGUGUGGUCAUCAUGCCCCAGAAGAUGUGCCUGAGGCACUUGGGGAUUCCCUCAAUGACUUGCAGCUUGACUACUUGGAUCUUUACCUUAUCCACUGGCCAUUUAAAAUCAAGAAGGGAACAAGCAUUGGCAACCCUGAAAACUUCUUACCACCUGACAUCCCAGCUACAUGGGGAGCAAUGGAGAAGUUGCAUGAUGCUGGCAAAGCUCGUGCAAUUGGUGUGAGUAAUUUCUCAUCGAAGAAAUUGGGUGACUUGCUUGCUGUAGCCCGCGUACCUCCGGCUGUUGACCAGGUGGAGUGCCAUCCUACUUGGCAGCAAUCUAAACUCCAUAGCUUCUGUCAGUCAACUGGUGUUCACCUCUCUGCGUACUCACCACUAGGUUCACCUGGCUCAACAUGGAUGAAUGGUAAUGUCCUCAAAGAACCCGUUGUCGUCUCAAUUGCAGAGAAGCUUGGCAAAACUCCAGCACAAGUGGCGUUGCGCUGGAACAUUCAGAUGGGUCACAGUGUGCUGCCAAAGAGCGUGAGUGAAGAACGGAUAAAGCAGAACCUUGCUGUUUAUGACUGGUCUAUUCCAGAAGACUUGCUUGCAAAGUUCUCUGAGAUUAAGCAGGCCAGGCUGCUCAUGGGCAACUUCAUCGUCAACAAAGACAGCGUUUACAAGACCCACGAUGAGCUCUGGGACGGCGAAAUCUAG